GGGUCGUUAGCUCAGUUGGUAGAGCAGUUGGCUUUUAACCAAUUGGUCGUAGGUUCGAAUCCCACACGACCCCCCA
rnacentral:tRNA from 1 species